rnacentral:rRNA from 1 species
GGAAUUAUUGGGCGUAAAGCGUCUGUAGGUGGUAAGGAAAGUGUAAUGUUAAAGAUCAGGGCUCAACCCUGGGAAAGCAUUGCAAACUAUCUUACUUGAGUUCGGUAGGGGCAGAGAGAAUUCCCAGUGUAGCGGUGAAAUGCGUAGAUAUUGGGAGGAAGACCGGUGGCGAAGGCGUUCUGCUGGGCCGUAACUGACACUCAGAGACGAAAGCUAAGGUAGCAAAUAGGAUUAGAUACCCUAGUAGUCUUAGCUGUAAACGAUGCACACUAUGUUUUGCAAUUUGCAGAGCAAUAGCUAACGCGUUAAGUGUGCCGCCUGGGGAGUACAUUCGCAAGGAUGAAACUCAAAGGAAUUGACGGGGACCCGCACAAGCGGUGGAGCAUGUGGUUUAAUUCGAUGCAACGCGAAGAACCUUACCAAGAAUUGACAUGCUGCGAACGUUUACGAAAGUAAAAAGUCUAUUAACUUAGUUAAUAGCGCAGACACAGGUGGUGCAUGGUUGUCGUCAGCUCGUGCCGUGAGGUGUUAGGUUAAGUCCUGCAACGAGCGCAACCCUUGUCUUUAGUUAUAUUCUAGAGAGACUGCCGGUGAUAAACCGGAGGAAGGUGAGGAUGACGUCAAAUCAGCAUGCCCCUUACAUCUUGGGCGACUCACGUGCUACAAUGGUCGGGACAAAGAGAUGCUACCCUGCG